rnacentral:rRNA from 1 species
UUAGCUAGUUGGUGAGGUAAGGGCUCACCAAGGCGACGAUCCCUAGCUGGUCUGAGAGGAUGAUCAGCCACACUGGAACUGAGACACGGUCCAGACUCCUACGGGAGGCAGCAGUGGGGAAUAUUGCACAAUGGGCGCAAGCCUGAUGCAGCCAUGCCGCGUGUGUGAAGAAGGCCUUCGGGUUGUAAAGCACUUUCAGUCGUGAGGAAGG